rnacentral:rRNA from 2 species
GAUGAACGCUGGCGGCGUGCCUAAUACAUGCAAGUCGAACGAGUUCUGAUUAUUGAAAGGUGCUUGCAUCUUGAUUUAAUUUUGAACGAGUGGCGGACGGGUGAGUAACACGUGGGUAACCUGCCCUUAAGUGGGGGAUAACAUUUGGAAACAGAUGCUAAUACCGCAUAAAUCCAAGAACCGCACGGUUCUUGGCUGAAAGAUGGCGUAAGCUAUCGCUUUUGGAUGGACCCGCGGCGUAUUAGCUAGUUGGUGAGGUAACGGCUCACCAAGGCAAUGAUACGUAGCCGAACUGAGAGGUUGAUCGGCCACAUUGGGACUGAGACACGGCCCAAACUCCUACGGGAGGCAGCAGUAGGGAAUCUUCCACAAUGGACGCAAGUCUGAUGGAGCAACGCCGCGUGAGUGAAGAAGGCUUUCGGGUCGUAAAACUCUGUUGUUGGAGAAGAAUGGUCGGCAGAGUAACUGUUGUCGGCGUGACGGUAUCCAACCAGAAAGCCACGGCUAACUGCGUGCCAGCAGCCGCGGUAAUACGUAGGUGGCAAGCGUUAUCCGGAUUUAUUGGGCGUAAAGCGAGCGCAGGCGGUUUUUUAAGUCUGAUGUGAAAGCCCUCGGCUUAACCGAGGAAGUGCAUCGGAAACUGGGAAACUUGAGUGCAGAAGAGGACAGUGGAACUCCAUGUGUAGCGGUGAAAUGCGUAGAUAUAUGGAAGGACACCAGUGGCGAAGGCGGCUGUCUGGUCUGUAACUGACGCUGAGGCUCGAAAGCAUGGGUAGCGAACAGG